GAUGAACGCUGACAGAAUGCUUAACACAUGCAAGUCUACUUGAACUUCGGUUUGGGCGGCGGACGGGUGAGUAACGCGUAAAGAACUUGCCUCACAGUUAGGGACAACAUUUGGAAACGAAUGCUAAUACCUGAUAUUAUGAUUUUAGGGCAUCCUAGGAUUAUGAAAGCUAUAUGUGCUGUGAGAGAGCUUUGCGUCCCAUUAGCUAGUUGGAGAGGUAACGGCUCACCAAGGCGAUGAUGGGUAGCCGGCCUGAGAGGGUGAACGGCCACAAGGGGACUGAGACACGGCCCUUACUCCUACGGGAGGCAGCAGUGGGGAAUAUUGGACAAUGGACCAAAAGUCUGAUCCAGCAAUUCUGUGUGCACGAUGACGUUUUUCGGAAUGUAAAGUGCUUUCAGUUGGGAAGAAAAAAAUGACGGUACCAACAGAAGAAGUGACGGCUAAAUACGUG
rnacentral:rRNA from 1 species